rnacentral:rRNA from 1 species
CCUACGGGUGGCAGCAGUGAGGAAUAUUGGUCAAUGGGCGAGAGCCUGAACCAGCCAAGUCGCGUGAGGGAGUACUGCCCUAUGGGUUGUAAACCUCUUUUGUCGGGGAGCAAAAGCCGGACGUGUCCGGCUGUGAGCGUACCCGAAGAAAAAGCAUCGGCUAACUCCGUGCCAGCAGCCGCGGUAAUACGGAGGAUGCGAGCGUUAUCCGGAUUUAUUGGGUUUAAAGGGUGCGCAGGCGGAUUUUUAAGUCAGCGGUAAAAUCGUGGGGCUCAACCCCAUCCAGCCGGUGAAACUGGGGAUCUAGAGUGUGCGAGAGGUAUGCGGAAUGCGUGGUGUAGCGGUGAAAUGCAUAGAUAUCACGCAGAACCCCGAUUGCGAAGGCAGCAUACCGGUGCACAACUGACGCUCAGGCACGAAAGCGUGGGUAUCGAACAGGAUUAGAUACCCUUGUAGUC